rnacentral:lncRNA from 1 species
AGCCACAGUUCACAGGAAGAAUGUUAUCAGAACUAAAAUUGUUCCAUCUUGUCCUCAACUUCCAGGCCAGAGGUUUCUAGAUAAAUCAAGAAGUGCAGUUUGACUGGAGGAACUCGCUCCCUCUUGCCUUGGCCUCAGCGAAAUCUCAUAUGCAGUAUUGGUGAGGUUCUUGUCCAGAGCAUUCCUUGGCGGCCUUUACGCUGCACUCAAAUCGAAGUGGGGAAGCCUCAUGCCAAGCUUGCUGUGCUUUUUGUUAUGGAUGAGAUGGAGUGAACAUUUCUGUCCAUGUUUCCUGCAGAAGACCUUGCUCUCACCUGCACCUUCCUGCCACAGACAAAUCUUCCAGCUCACAGAACGGGAUAAUUAGAAAGGAAGAAAUUUUUAUGGUUUGACUUGGAGCCUUUCAUUGCAGUUUAUUUGAUAGUUAGAAGCAUCAGCAUCUCAGAAGUUAAUGAUCUGCCUGAAAUAAUGGGGAUUUUAGAAGAUGGAAU